rnacentral:rRNA from 1 species
GCGUACUGCUCAGUAACACGUGGAUAAUCUGCCCUAGAGUCUCGCAUAACUCCGGGAAACUGGAGAUAAUUCCUGAUAUACCAUAUGAUACUGGAAUGUUCUGUGGUCCAAAGCUCCGGCGCCUUAGGAUGAAUCUGCGGCCUAUCAGGUUGUAGUGGGUGUAAUGUACCUACUAGCCUACGACGGGUACGGGUUGUGAGAGCAAGAGCCCGGAGAUGGAUUCUGAGACAUGAAUCCAGGCCCUACGGGGCGCAGCAGGCGCGAAAACUUUACAAUGCGGGAAACCGCGAUAAGGGGAUACUGAGUGCCAGCAUCUUAUGUUGGCUGUCCGCAUGUAUAAAUAGCAUGUGUUAGCAAGGGCCGGGCAAGACCGGUGCCAGCCGCCGCGGUAACACCGGCGGCCCGAGUG